UUCCCCCCGGGAAAACUAGCAUAUCAAUAAGCGGAGGAAAAGAAACCAACAGGGAUUGCCUCAGUAACGGCGAGUGAAGCGGCAACAGCUCAAAUUUGAAAUCUGGGUCUUUCAGGCUCCGAGUUGUAAUUUGUAGAAGAUGCUUCGGGUGUGGCUCCGGUCUAAGUUCCUUGGAACAGGACGUCAUAGAGGGUGAGAAUCCCGUACGUGACUGGUUGCCUUCGCCCAUGUGAAGCUCUUUCGACGAGUCGAGUUGUUUGGGAAUGCAGCUCAAAAUGGGUGGUAAAUUUCAUCUAAAGCUAAAUAUUGGCCAGAGACCGAUAGCGCACAAGUAGAGUGAUCGAAAGAUGAAAAGCACUUUGGAAAGAGAGUUAAACAGUACGUGAAAUUGUUGAAAGGGAAGCGCUUGCAACCAGACUUGCACGCUGCUGAUCAUCCGGGGUUCUCCCCGGUGCACUCGGUUGCGUUCAGGCCAGCAUCGGUUUGGGUGGUUGGAUAAAGGCCUUGGGAAUGUAGCUUCUUUCGGGGAGUGUUAUAGCCCUCGGUGCAAUGCAGCCUACCCGGACCGAGGACCGCGCUUCGGCUAGGAUGCUGGCGUAAUGGUUGUAAGCGACCCGUCUUGAAACACGGACCAAGGAGUCUAACAUCUAUGCGAGUGUUUGGGUGUCAAACCCAUACGCGUAAUGAAAGUGAACGGAGGUGAGAACCCUUAAGGGUGCAUCAUCGACCGAUCCUGAUGUCUUCGGAUGGAUUUGAGUAAGAGCAUAGCUGUUGGGACCCGAAAGAUGGUGAUCUAUACUUGAAUAGGGUGAAGCCAGAGGAAACUCUGGUGGAGGCUCGCAGCGGUUCUGACGUGCAAAUCGAUCGUCAAAUUUGAGUAUAGGGGCGAAAGACUAAUCGAACCAUCUAGUAGCUGGUUCCUGCCGAAGUUCCCCUC
rnacentral:rRNA from 1 species